rnacentral:rRNA from 1 species
GUCGAGCGGAUGAAAGGAGCUUGCUCCUGGAUUCAGCGGCGGACGGGUGAGUAAUGCCUAGGAAUCUGCCUGGUAGUGGGGGACAACGUUUCGAAAGGAACGCUAAUACCGCAUACGUCCUACGGGAGAAAGCAGGGGACCUUCGGGCCUUGCGCUAUCAGAUGAGCCUAGGUCGGAUUAGCUAGUUGGUGAGGUAAUGGCUCACCAAGGCGACGAUCCGUAACUGGUCUGAGAGGAUGAUCAGUCACACUGGAACUGAGACACGGUCCAGACUCCUACGGGAGGCAGCAGUGGGGAAUAUUGGACAAUGGGCGAAAGCCUGAUCCAGCCAUGCCGCGUGUGUGAAGAAGGUCUUCGGAUUGUAAAGCACUUUAAGUUGGGAGGAAGGGUUGUAGAUUAAUACUCUGCAAUUUUGACGUUACCGACAGAAUAAGCACCGGCUAACUCUGUGCCAGCAGCCGCGGUAAUACAGAGGGUGCAAGCGUUAAUCGGAAUUACUGGGCGUAAAGCGCGCGUAGGUGGUUCGUUAAGUUGGAUGUGAAAUCCCCGGGCUCAACCUGGGAACUGCAUUCAAAACUGUCGAGCUAGAGUAUGGUAGAGGGUGGUGGAAUUUCCUGUGUAGCGGUGAAAUGCGUAGAUAUAGGAAGGAACACCAGUGGCGAAGGCGACCACCUGGACUGAUACUGACACUGAGGUGCGAAAGCGUGGGGAGC